GUGAGGAAUAUUGCGCAAUGGAGGCAACUCUGACGCAGCCAUGCCGCGUGCAGGAAGAAGGCGCUACGCGUUGUAAACUGCUUUUAACCGGGAAGAAACCCCAGGACGUGUCCUGGGUUGACGGUACCGGAGGAAUAAGCACCGGCUAACUUCGUGCCAGCAGCCGCGGUAAUACGACGGGUGCAAGCGUUAUCCGGAUUCAUUGCUUUUAACGGGUGCGUAGGCGGAGCGUUAAGUCAGUGGUGAAAUCCUGCAGCUUAACUGUAGACUUGCCAUUGAUACUGGCGCUCUUGAGUGCGGUGGAAGUGGGCGGAAUGUGCCGUGUAGCGGUGAAAUGCUUAGAUAUGGCACAGAACACCAAUUGCGAAGGCAGCUGACUAAGGCGAUAAUGACGCUGAGGCACGAAAGCGUGGGGAUCGAACAGGAUUAGAAACCCUUGUAGUCC
rnacentral:rRNA from 1 species